AUCCAGCUGACUAGUCCCAAACAGGAUGAAACGCGCAUCAAACUGGAU
rfam:Schistosoma mansoni, Puerto Rico, WGS project CABG01000000 data, contig: 0097